rnacentral:lncRNA from 1 species
GGGGUGCAAAUCCCGAUGGGGAAAGUCGUAGAGAUCAAUCAUGGAUUUAAAUGGGUCGGGGAAGGGGACAUAGCAGGUGGGCAGAGGAAAGAAGCAACCAACUCAAAAUACCUUUUCAGAAAGGUAAUUGGGUGGGGGGAGCCUGUAUCUGGACCAAUGUCCAUUGUUGUCUUUUUCCCCCCCUUUGCAGAAUAGUUUGUUUUAUUUUGGGGGUGCAAAUUGCUAAGCUCCAGGUGCCUGAACUGGAAUUGAUAAGUGAAUUACUUUAAAGCUGGCAGGUUCUAAAGAUCUUAAAUGGUAUUUCAUUUUUCUUUUUUUAAUGGGGGUUGCAAACAGGUAGAUUAAAGAAAAACAGGCAUAAAGCACAAGGCAUGCAGAGUGGACUGUCGCUGCUCGCUAAAGUUCUUCCCCUUCUCUCCAAAUAAGGUGAAAGCAAAUGGCUUUAAUAGGAGGUGGAAACUGGAGCUGUCUUUCUGCUGACUUCAAAAGAUGAUCUGGUCAAAGAAGUGAAAUCUGUAGCUGGGUUUUUAAAAAGCAAAAUCUUGAAAUUGUAAUUUGGCAAAGGGACUGUGGCUACAGGUCUGUGAAAAGAACCAUGUAGGAAAACGGAAGGCUUCUUUCAUCGUGCAAACUAGUGGACAUGAACACAGACACCAAGAACCUCAGGUCCAGAAGUCCAGCAUCAGUUAUUCUUUUAACAAGAUUUUUUUUAACAAAAAGAGAACUAUCCAUUUUCUCAGUACCUCACAUUAUGUUAACAGCAGAGUUGGCAAGAAUGAAUUGAUGGGAUGGAUUGUUCAGAGCAAUGCAUGUCCAGUUGGAGCUUGAGAUCCAUCACUAAAAAGGAGCAGAAACAACCCCACAAAAGAUCUGUGACUGAACGUUCCCUAGCAGCGUUUUACCAUCUUCACAUUUUAUUAUAGACUGGCUACUGCCAAUUUAUCCAGCUGUCCUUUCCAAACAAAGUUGGGUGUCUCCACCCAAAUAAUUGCCUCAUCUAUAUUUUGAAUGGAUUCUUAAUCUAAAAUGAUAUUUUUUUAAAACAAAUGAAGUCAGACCUAUUCCCUCCAAAAGUGUUUUUAGAUACAUUCUAUACUGGCAACUUUGAAUUGAAUGGAAGUGUACUGUUCACUACAAAGUUUCAGGUAUUAUUUGUGCAACAUCUUAAGAGAGGCAGGUAAACCUUCCUCUACAAUCUUUUUUAAUUGUGCAUGCCUGUCCUUUAUUUGAGCUGCCUUUUUAAUUUAUUGCAUACCCUUAUUACCUUAUUUUGGUAUUACUCUUAUCUAUACUAUCUUUGUUUUGUAUUUAUUAGAAAGCAAGGAGACAUAAAAGGCAUUUCUUCACACGGUUGUCACUGUAGUGGGGAAAUUUGCAGGAAUUUUCUUUUAAAAAAUUAAUUGGUUUUACUAUAGCUAUUAUAAAGAUCUGCAAAUAAUGUCAGAAUAGUUUACCACAAAAUGUUCAGCCACACAUAUAAUUGUUUAUUUUCAAAGACAUUUCUUUAUUCCCAGUGUCCACAGUAGAUAUUUUUAUUGUAUUUUUGAAGAAAUCUUUCUUUCCAUUUUCUCCGUCGCAAAGAACUUGUUUCCUGAAUUGUAAUGGGAGCAAUAGUAUUUCUUGAUGUUUUAAUUACAUCCGUAUACUCGUACUGUAUUUUGUACUCUCCAAGGCAGCUGUUUUCAAUAAUGUCCUGCUGUAUCUACCUAUGUAUUUUUGUUCAAAUGUAUGUAGUUCUUUGCUCCGGAGAACAACUUUCACCAACAAAAGUUUCAGCAGGUUAACUGGGAUACCACAGCCCUCUAGGAUUGCAGAAAACUCUACUUAACUAAUUAGAGCUCUAGGCAGCAAUGAAAAUUGAGGCUGCAGAUGCUUGGUGUAUAUUGCUGUAACUCUUCACUCAUUUUAAAUCAAUGUACAAUACUUGUAUAGACCAACAAUGUUUUGUUGCUUCAGUGGUAAUUGGGGUUUUUUUCCCUUUUGUUGCUCAGCUGCUGUGAGCCAAUUAAAAUGCAGUACCUCUCCUUUUCAGGAGAUUUUUUUUUUUUUUUUUUUUUGGCUGAAUUGCAGUAACUAGUCUUACCUUUGUAUUACGUGGUAGUGACAGGGUUUGACUGUCCCUGGCCAGUGGCUACAUAUGCUAUAAUUAGCUGUCUAGGAAGUAUGUGGAAGUAGACAGAAGCAUAUAUCAGUUGUAUGCCAAGAAUGCUGCCAUAUAUGGUGUUGUUUUGGCAACCAGAAAAAAAUCUUCUGUAGUCAUUAGACCAGUUAAAGCAUUGUAUAUUGGGUACACAGAUUGACACAUGACCCUCCAAGGUAUGUAGGUGGUGACAAUGCAGUGUGUCAGUAGGAGAGUCUCAGUGAAAAUACUGGGCAUGCUUGUGUCCAGCUUAAGUAUAAAUGGUAAGAUUUUAAAUGUUUUGAGUAAUACUGAGGUUAUCUCACCAUAGCAGGUUAACGGCCAAGCCUCAUGCUAUAGGAAAAUUAGUCUGGUGGCACAAGCCCUUGUUAGGUGCAGGGGUUUACGGAGGAAAAUCCAUAGAACUCUGAGAGUGGGGGAAGGGGGCUUGCCUGGCAUCUGUAGAGCUUUGAACCUCUCCUCCCUGUUGUAAAAUUUGGGACUUCUGUGAUUAAAAUAGUGGAGAUUGCAAAUACUGUAUUGUUUAAGGGUCACUUGGAAGCAUUGAUUGGCCUCUAAUGAAAGAUGAAUCCUAUUUGGUGUAGGGAUAACUGUUAGAAAUCUCACACACACCCCGCACACAUGUGUGCACUUUGUACAAACUGCGCCUUUAAAAGAAAAAUCACACUGCUCUCUAAGCCUAGUAGUUUUGUCUCAACAAUUGGUCUCUGCAAAUUCUAAGUAGAUAGACUUGUCCCUGUUCAGAGUAGCUUCUGUUCAUGUGAUAGGGAUAUUCAGCCAUGUUGGAAAAAAUGUACUGCCUGGAUUACAUCUCAGAUGAAUGAUCUUGUUAUUCCUGUUUAUAUUCUUGUGCUUAAAUGUCAAUUUGGGUAAAGGCUUCCCCAUUCUUGGUGCUGCAGUUAAAUUGUGUCUUUGAAUUUUUCUGCAGCAACAUUGACAGUACCUCAGUGCAGUUUACAAGCUGCCGUCUGGCAUAUCUGUGCUUAAAAUAGCUCAAUUCCAUAAAUUUACUGGAGUUUAGCUGUCACACGUUCAGGUAUGUUGAGUUAUGUGGCUUGUGGAUCACACUGUUGUCUUAAAAAUGUCGGUUCUGUAUGAGGGGGAAAUGGGCAAACCUCCAUGUGGAGUUCUGCAUAUCCAACAUUUCUAGACUUCUACUGUCCUUGGAGUGAUGCAUCUGCUGUACAAAACAAAAUGUAAAUCUUGUAUAGCACCAAAAAUUGUAAAUAUUUGAGGCAUACAGGUAUAAACACCCGUAUCUUUAGCUCACAUCUAGUUACGGGUUCUUGUUCUUCUUUCCAUAGCUGUCUGCUGCAGAGCGGUUGCAGACCUAACGGUGAAUGCUUUUUCUUUUCUCCUCAAAUAAAAAGCAGUCACUGUUGCUUACCCUGGAAUCCGCUCUGCAACCACAGAUCUUUUUAAAAAUAAAUUAAGAUUCAAGUUCUGCUUCAGUUUCUCUCCCCAAAAACACACAUUCUUAUCAUGCCCUGGCUUACAAUUUUCAGGAUAAUGGGCACAAGAUGCAGGUUACAAUAAGCCCUCAUAUUGAGUGGUCCCAUCAUUGACUGCACACUUCAGGUAUUGGAAUAGCUGAGGAUGAUUUGUGAUCUGUUCCUAUCAUUAAAGGGGACAUUGGAAAAGUGACUAACUCAGGCUACUUUCACUUGUGAGGGCAGCAGUUUUGUGAUUUUGGUGGAAAACUGUUCAGUGCAUAAACAUGCAUGGACAUCUCAAUGUUUUAACAGAAAGAUUAUGGUACUUUAUCUGAUGCACAAUUUAAUCUCUCAGCAGAUAUUCAGUUAUUAUUUAAAAAUAAAUAAACUUGUGGCCUUGACUCUUAACUUAGUGGAAGGGAGGAAAACUUAGUUUUUCCCUUUAAAAAUGGCACUUUUUGGCUUCAAAAUUAUUCUAAUACUACGUAGUUCUUGGUAAACAUGUUGUUGAUAUGCUUCCUUUGGUAAAAUGGUAAAUGUAUUGAAGUAUGUUUGCUAUGAAACAAAUUUAGUUUUUUAAAGGGAUAGUGUAAUUGGGAUUACCAAUCUACUUGAGGCUAAAUAUUUAAAACUUAAUGGACCCUGAUACUUUUAAUAUGCAUUAUUCAAAAUUAUUUGUGGAAACAUUGUGUAGGCAAUUUAAUGUUACCCAGCAGAACCCUUAGCUUAGAGCUUACCUAUGCUACAAAUCUAAAUCAUUUUAUACCAGAAGAAUAUAAAGACUUUCCUCAAAGAAACAUUAGUUUGAUGAGAGUGCUGGGAGAUUUGUAGACUCUCACUGAGAGGGAAUGAUGAUUAAACCAGUUUAGACCUAUAUGCUUUGAGCUAUUGCACUCAGACCAGUCUUCUGCAGCUCAAACCUUAAAAUGCUUUCUGAAUGCCAAACUGGUAGUGGCAGGUCUCUUAUUAUGUAUUUCUUGAUUAUUUGUUCACUGAUGAAUUUGCGAUGUAAAUACAUACUCUUCAUGGUAGGUUCCUUCCCCCAUGUUCUUGAUAGUCUGAUUCCAGGUGUGCUAGAGGUAUUUAGAAAGCUUGCCUCUUGUCCAGCAAUGGUGCUUAUGGUAAUUCAGUGUCAGCAAAAUUACUGUAGCAAUUUGUUGUGCUUGAGCAUUAGCCAGAUCAUCUUAAUUGUCAGGUGGCAUUUACUUCUUAAAAUUGCAUUCUUGGGUUUGAUUUAUUAGGUUGAUGGAGUUUGGCUAAGGUAAGGAAAGACUGGUUGUAGUAAAAAAGAUUUCUUCCUCCCUCUUGCAGGUUCUCAGGAACCUCAUCUUUUGCACUUUGUAGUUUUUAGCCAACAGAGGAAGAGUUAAAAAGAAUUAAGACUGACAGAUUGCUUUAUUGAGGUAUUGUGAGAGGAAAGCACGUGGCUGAAGCAUAACAGCUGUUUCGUGUAAGGUUCCAGAGAAGUUUAAUAUUGGAAGCAGACAUUCAAACCUGUGAAUGUGGCCAUGAACUGCUACCUCUCCUACCUGUAGAAUGACAGUUAAUCUGCAGUGGUGUUAGACUAACUCCAUCUUAAUAUAAUGAGGUUGGUGUAUAUGGUGGAGUAAAAUUUUCCUUUUUAAUAAAAUCCCAACAUUAUGGUCUAGUCACACAAACAACAGGUAUUUUGCGUAGUUGUAGGGAGUAAGCAAUAACACAGUCGCUGGGCUCUAAAGAAUUGAAUUGCUAGCUGGGUGUGCUUGAGGUGGGGUUGGUCUUGUGGUUCUUAAGGAGGAGCUUCAAAAGCAGUUAGUAGCAUGGGGGAUCUCUUCAGAUGCGAACAGCCCAAAAUUACACUGGCUGUGUACUAUUCCAUUGGGCACAGUGAAAGUGUUUCUUUGGGUCCCAGCCUCUCAUAUUCAACUUGCAGCAGUAUAAUUAAGGCCAGUUGUGUAAAUUUGCUCGUAUCUGAUUUGACAGAGGAGAACUAAGUUGUAGACUUCAGAGCAGCACAACUAAAGUCUAUGUGACUGUUCCCAGAGUCUUUAGAGAAUAACUGUUCUACCAUCGCCCAAUUUUUUGAGCAUGAGAAUCAUUAACUUGCCAAAAAUGCUCACCUAAGGAAAGAAGAAUGUUCCAGGAUGUUUACUAACUGAUUUCUAAUCAAUAGUUACCAUGAAUUUUUUUUUGCUAGCCUUCUCACUCCAGCUCCUCUUUUUUUUAAUCUGACAAGGGGAAGAGUGGGGGAGAGCUCAAGGUUUCAAUGUCUACUAGAAAUAUAGAAAUACCAACACAAUUUUGUCUCUUAAAUUCCGUGAAGGGAAGGUUAAGUGUGCUUUGUCAAAGCCAUUUUGUAAUAAGCUGCUAUGUAGCCUUAAUCUCAUAAUGUACUGUGUGUGUGUAUAGGUACAUAUACACAUACAUACAAAGUAAGCGGCCCACAGCAAAGAAGUACAAGUUUGUCAAAGCUAUUGUAAAUGUACAGGAAAGCUUACUUCUGCUUGCCCCACUCCUGGCCUAUCACUGCUUUGUGUAGCCAAGGUAAACUGUCUUUAAGACUUGCAGAGGACAUAAUUUAAAACAGCAGUCACUGUGCACCAUUUUAACCCAGGCAAGUUUCCAAGACAAUAUGUUUAAUUUCCUGCCCUGCUUUUUCUGUGUUGAAAGGCCCAUCUGGUUAGAAAAUCCCAUAUUUGAAUGCAUGUGGGAUUUACAAGAAUAUAGCUUAAUCUUGUUUCUUCACACUGCCCCUCUUCAGAAUUGGAGCUGUUGACUCAGGCAUGCUCAAAUGUAAAGAACCAUGAUAAACAAGUUAGCCAGUUAUCUCCUAGCUUACAUGUGCUGUGAAUAUUUUAACCUUACCAACAUUUGUAGAGAGGUGCCCAUUAGGAGAAGGCAGGUCAUUGGCCCAAUAAUAACAUUGGGCAAUAAUCUGAGCAGCUCUCCAUACUACCUUUCCCUCCAGCACUUUCACAUCAUCCUUGCUGGCCUAUUAUUAAGAGGAAACGUGUUAGUCUAGAUUGCUGAAGCUGCAUUCAGUGAUUUUCAUGCUACUAAGAAUGCUGUGGUUCCACAAAAACCUAUCAAGUUCCUCAGUGAGAAGACUUUGUCCGCUGUCUCAAUGUCCAGCUGCACAGGAAGGUUAGGGCAUUUUGGAACAUAACCUUUCUUGGUGAGAGGUCUGAUCAGUGCCCGUAUUUGAACAUACUGUAGAAUCUUCUGCAGUGCACAGGUUCCAGCAGAUGCUCAAGGCAGGCAAAACCCUAUGUGAAGCAGGUUCUCUGAGGAGGUGAUAUGUUUGAAAGUCAAGCAAAUGUUGAACAAUUGCAGCCCGUACUGUAGGCAGCUUAUUUUUCCCCAUGUUAUGUUACCAGUUGGUGCUGGUAGUUUUCCAUGUUUUGCCAAGACUGGUGGAACAAACACUCAUAAUCUGGUUUCCAAGUCUCUUGCUCUUUCUCCUUGCCUCAUUGAAUUAACCUUUGCACUGCAGGUGGAUUUUGCAAGCACAGGUCUUCCAUUGAAAUGAAUGGAUAGUGUCCCCGCUGCUGUGCUUGCUGGCGUAGCUGCCAAAGUCCUUUUCCAGCAGAGGGUGCAGCAGUCAGCUGCCUCUUCCAGUUAGAGGUAUUGCUUACUACAGAUACUACAGUAUCUGCUGCUCAAUUUGAUGCUAACAGAUUUGUCAAAAGUGAUAUGCAGGAUUAUAAAGAAAGGGCAGGGUGGUGCAGAAUCAUUGCCCUUGGGAAGUGAAGGUUUUGCUGGGCUGAAUGUACCAUUUCAGUAGUGAGCAAAUAUUUUAAUUUGGUAUAAAGUUGAGAAAACCUUGUGUAAGUGAUAAUUGAUCAUAUAUGGAUGUAAUCAGCCCAUAUGUAAAUAUACACGUUUGUACAUUGUAUACAUAGAAAGAAAUGUCUGUGUACAUGUGUAUGUAUUUAUAAAAACAUGUUUCUCUGCUAGAUAGUAAAUGCAAAAGUAGCUCUAAUUUUAUAUCUAUCUCUCUAUAUAUAUCUAUAUAUUUAAAAAAAACUCCCCCUCUAUAAAUAUAUUAUAUAAAUGCUAGACGUUAAUUUGUAGUAAAAUAGAUCUGAUUUCAGGAAUAUCUGCUGAGAGACCAAAAAGUUCACUUUUAAGUACCUUAAUUAAAGAAUAAAGUUUAUUCCUCUUGUUUAUUUUUUUAUAUAAAAAAAAUUAAAUGCACUUUAACUGGCAAAACAAACACAAACAGCUGUGUGGUGCAGUUUCAAGCAUACAGAGAUGUUUUAAAAGUGCAGCACCCAUUCAGAAAUGUUCCUUUCUCACCCAUUAAGCAGAGCGCUGGAAAGUAUUUACAGUCCCAGGGCAAAGAGCUGCCUCUUGGUCUUGCUGCCUGUUGGCUGAAGCUGAGAUUCUGAUUUCCCUUUGGGGGGGGGGGGGGGCUGGCAGGACUGCUUUUAAAGAGCAAUGCAGAUGCAGCCAGACACUACAGGCUGCUGUCAAACGAAGGCAGGUCCUGGAUUUACCACUAGCUGACUAGCAAAACAACAACAAACCAGUCCAAACGACAUUAAGAACUCCUCAUGCUAGUUGAGCACUCCUUACCAUAACAGGUUUUUGCAAAUGGAGUUUUACAGUCUAUAUUUAAAAAAAUGUAUGUUUGUAACAAAUAAAAGUAUGCGGAAAAGUGAAUGAACAUGUACCUCUGUCUCUGGGUUUUUUAUGUAGUGGGAAAUCAUGUAUUUUUGUGAUGCAAUUGAAAAUUAAUCAUUUAUUAUCCUGGAGCUAUGUUAGAUCUGUCAUGAGUUGAUGGGCCUGUGGCAAAGCGUUGCCUGUUUGAAUGAGUGGAAAAUAUCCAAGUAGGGAAGUAUACCAAACAAGAAGCAAGAUUCUAUAAAUCCUGAUGGAUCUCAGGGACUGAAGAUGAAUUCAUGGAGUGGGGCAGGGAGGGCAAGGGAGCAGGGAGAAGCUUGAACUCCUAUAAGGAUACCAUCUUUUGCCAACUGCUGUCUGUGAAUGCUAGGUUAUUUUAUUUGUAUAUCACUACACACAUCCAGAGGCACCCCGGAGCAAUUUUCAAGAACAAAAUACAACAUAUACAUAUGUUCACUAAAAUGAUACAAAUAUUAAAAUAUUCAUCC